rnacentral:rRNA from 1 species
UAGUCUGGUGCCAGCAGCCGCGGUAAUUCCAGCUCCAAUAGCGUAUAUUAAAGUUGUUGCAGUUAAAACGCUCGUAGUCGGAUUUCGGGGCAGGUUUGCCGGUCUGCCGAUGGGUAUGCACUGGUAGAACUGUCCUUCCUUCCGGAGACGGCGCCUACUCUUAACUGAGCGGGUGUCGGAGACGGAUCGUUUACUUUGAAAAAAUCAGAGUGUUUCAAGCAGGCAGCUCGCUUUUGCAUGGAUUAGCAUGGGAUAAUGAAAUAGGACUUUGGUGCUAUUUUGUUGGUUUCGAACACCGAAGUAAUGAUUAACAGGGACAGUCAGGGGCACUCGUAUUCCGCCGAGAGAGGUGAAAUUCUUAGACCAGCGGAAGACGAACCACUGCGAAAGCAUUUGCCAGGGAUGUUUUCACUGAUCAAGAACGAAAGUUAGGGGAUCGAAGACGAUCAGAUACCGUCGUAGUCUUAACCAUAAACCAUGCCGACUAGGGAUUGGAGGAUGUUCCUAUGUGACUCCUUCAGCACCUUUCGGGAAACUAAAGUCUUUGGGUUCCGGGGGGAGUAUGGUCGCAAGGCUGAAACUUAAAGGAAUUGACGGAAGGGCACCACCAGGAGUGGAGCCUGCGGCUUAAUUUGACUCAACACGGGGAAACUUACCAGGUCCAGACAUUGUGAGGAUUGACAGAUUGAGAGCUCUUUCUUGAUUCGAUGGGUGGUGGU